rnacentral:rRNA from 1 species
GACAGAGGUGCCGAGCGUUAGGCGGAAUCACUGGGCUUAAAGCGUGUGUAGGCGGGUCGUUAAGUGCCUUGUGAAAUCCCACAGCUCAACUGUGGAACUGCUGGGCAUACUGGCGAUCUUGAGCCAACUAGGGGCGACCGGAACAAACGGUGGAGCGGUGAAAUGCGUAGAUAUCGUUUGGAACGCCAAUGGUGAAAACAGGUCGCUGGGGUUGUGCUGACGCUGAGACACGAAAGCCAGGGGAGCGAACGGG